rnacentral:rRNA from 1 species
UACGUAGGGUGCAAGCGUUGUCCGGAAUUAUUGGGCGUAAAGAGCUCGUAGGUGGCCUGUCGCGUCGGCUGUGAAAACUCGGGGCUCAACUCCGAGCUUGCAGUCGAUACGGGCAGGCUAGAGUUCGGCAGGGGAGACUGGAAUUCCUGGUGUAGCGGUGAAAUGCGCAGAUAUCGGGAGGAACACCGGUGGCGAAGGCGGUUCUCUGGGCCUUACCUGACACUGAGGAGCGAAAGCGUGGGGAGCGAACAGG